AGGUGAGGUGUUGUAGUUAUUACAUUUUUUCCUACUUUUAUUUUUUAAGACCGUAGAACUAAGACUAAAUAUCAUCCUAAAAUCUGAAUGCAUAAAAAGGAUCUUUGGGUACUAUAAUCAUGCAAAACAUGUGUACCUGUCAACCAGUCAACCUUCUGCUUCUUUGCAUGAAAAAAUGUUUCAGUCUGUGGAGAGGAUGCUGAAGACGAUCCAGACGGUGUGACGUAUGCAGUCGUCGUCACAAAACUGAAACAGGACAAAGACACUGGAGACGCUGCUGAUAAUUUGAACCUCUGCCUCGAGUCAAACCACAGCACCAAACCACAGAGUGAAAGAGAAGAAGACGAAUCCUCUUUACAACUGGUUUACUCUGCUGUGACCAUACGUAAAACUCCACAAGCUCUCCAACGGGAAUCCAGCUCCACAGCAGCCAAAGUCUAACA